rnacentral:lncRNA from 1 species
CUCCCUUCUUCCGAGCCUCUCCUCUGGCCGCCGCGCGGGAGAGAGGCCGAGAUGGCAGAUGAGAUUGCCAAGGCUCAGGUCGCUCGGCCUGGUGGCGACACGAUCUUUGGGAAGAUCAUCCGCAAGGAAAUACCAGCCAAAAUCAUUUUUGAGGAUGACCGGAAAUCAUGUAUGUGCUGGGAAUGGAAUGGCGGAAUGACUAGCAGUUUAAAUUAGACGGAAGUUGGGGUUUGGAGGGGGAGAGGAUCAUUGAAAAAGCUCUGAGGGCAGAGAGCUCAGAAGGCCAGUUCCAUGUGAAGACCUGCAGGAGAUCUGGAGAGGCAGUGCCUUGCUUUCCAUGACAUUUCCCCUCAAGCACCAACACAUUUUCUGGUGAUACCCAAGAAACAUAUAUCCCAGAUUUCUGUGGCAGAAGAUGAUGAUGAAAGUCUUCUUGGACACUUAAUGAUUGUUGGCAAGAAAUGUGCUGCUGAUCUGGGCCUGAAUAAGGGUUAUCGAAUGGUGGUGAAUGAAGGUUCAGAUGGUGGACAGUCUGUCUAUCACGUUCAUCUCCAUGUUCUUGGAGGUCGGCAAAUGCAUUGGCCUCCUGGUUAAGCACGUUUUGGGGAUAAUUUUCUCUUCUUUAGGCAAUGAUUAAGUUAGGCAAUUUCCAGUAUGUUAAGUAACACACUUAUUUUUGCCUGUGUAUGGAGAGAUUCAAGAAAUA